rnacentral:rRNA from 1 species
UACGAAGGGGGCUAGCGUUGUUCGGAAUCACUGGGCGUAAAGGGCGCGUAGGCGGCCGAUCAAGUCGGGGGUGAAAGCCUGUGGCUCAACCACAGAAUUGCCUUCGAUACUGUUUGGCUUGAGUUUGGGAGAGGGAUGCGGAAUUCCAGGUGUAGCGGUGAAAUGCGUAGAUAUCUGGAGGAACACCGGUGGCGAAGGCGGCAUCCUGGACCAAUACUGACACUGAGGAGCGAAAGCCAGGGGAGCAAACGGG